ACUCACUAUUCCUGAAGAAUCGCCGACUCCUUCUCCUGCUUAACUCCACCCUCUUCGACGGAGCCUCUCCAUUGAGCUUUGAGAUCCGGUCAAGUAGCACACCACGCCAGCGAUUCUGUGGGGGGCACUGAGAUCGGACGCCGAGACCUCCGAUGACCUUACCGGCGACGCUAACAUCGCGCGAGGGCUUCCAGAGGUGGCAUGGGGAGGGGAAAGAAAAAUACACUUCUAUACGAUGGUAUGAGAUCCGUGAGGUAGUGGAUAGGGGCUUGGGAGAGUUUCAUAUGCAUGCCGAUGAUGUUCGAUUUGUUGAAUGAGUUGCGAUUUGAUGUUUCUGUGCUAUCCUAGUUUCAUCUUGCAUUUUUUCCCGAUUUCUACAAAAGAUGGGGAUGUUUUGAUGGCAAUCGAUGUUGUACAUGCUUCCUCUUCAUAGAUUGAGUUUUUGAAUUAGAGUUCUUGGUGGUUCUGGUUGGUUCCGAUGGUGUCUGCACCUUCCUAUUGUUCGGCUAGUUUCCAUUGGGUUCUUGUGAUUCCUGGUGCUUUAAGUUUUGAUUGGUGAAGCUCUAAUUUUCUUAUGGUAACGAAAUCGUUAGUCGGAUUUGAAUUGGUGCGCUGAUGUUUUCUCUCCUCCAUGCUUCUUACGAAUGCUUUCAAGGUUUGGAAAAUUAUCCCCCAGUAGCAUAAGCUUCAAUUAGAAUCAGUUGUUGGCUCUUUUGUUUUCUGAAUUGCUGUGGAAUUUUUAAGGAUUUACUCGAUGGAGUUUUGUUCCUAUGUGGAUUUUAGUUCGAGGAUGUUCUAUUUAUGGAAUAGCUAUAUGGAUUUGGUGUCCUCGAUUUUUCAUUCCAGAUAGCUGCGACUUGUGGAAGAAUCUGAUAGGUGGUAGUGUGAAUUCGAUGGGAUUCUUGCUCCUUGUGUUAGUUUGAGAUUCUUUUUCCUGACGAACAACUAUCAAGACAGUAAGUUUGAUUGUGGUGUUCUUGAGUUUCCUUUCGCAUUAACUAUGAUUCUGUGGAUUGAUCAAGUAGAUUGUUACAUGAGUUCAAAGUGGUUUUGCUUCUUGUGUUGGCUUCAGAUCUUUUUGUUGGAUAGGUAGCAUGACCCUGAAUUUGGUUUUGGUAGUACUCCUAUGCUUCUGUGAGGGUAACCAGGUGCUGAUUUAGAAUUGUUUGCAGGUAUUUUUAAAGUGUUGAAUUCGGUUUUAUCUUUCCUUUUGGGUAUGCAUGCUACUGUUAUUUUCUUUCAAGUAGGUAGGUAGGUUUAUAGAAGGGAUGAAAUGGACAAUUGAUUAAAGCAUAAUGAAGUGUGUAUGCCCACAUGUGGAGACAGUACGGGUUGGGUGCCUCGGGAUGAGCUCCGAGGAGGGUCCUUCCAAACUUGACUGAUAAUGUAAUUUAUGUUAGCUUCGGCUAAAUGACUGCAUGUUCUCCUAGAAGGUACCUUCAGGGUCAUGAUUAUGGACUAAAUGACUAGUUCAAAUGAUGGUUACCACAUGUGUGAUAUAUUCACCCUUGUUCCAUAAACUCAUGACGUUUAUGAUACAAGCAAGAGAGACACCUCUCAAGUGGCAAAAGACGAAAUCGUUCGCCCCUAACGCCCCCGUCGCACCCGACCCCAGGCCAUCACGAGGGAGGUAAAUCACGGCAGCCGAGAGGGUAAGUGGUGGUGGGGUGAGUUGCACAGGGUAUGAGGAUUUACGCCUCGACAAAACUGCAGUUCGACCCCGUGACUUCAUGUGGCAAGCAUGCCACCACUUACCAUCUCGGAUGACCCGUGGGGUCGAGAGAGAUACCUCUCAAGAAAUUUUGGAAGGCAUGCACGUGGAGUAGGCGAGGAGACAGGAUGGAAUCAUGACAUAUUGUCCAGGGAUUUCUAGGAGAUGGUGAGAACAUGGGUUAUUGUUAAUUGGAUUCUAUCAUGAGGUUAUGUGUGUGUGGCUCUCUUUAUUGUUGCUAGCACUUGUUAAAUAACAGAUCUGUUGAGAUUUGAACUUAUCACCUUUACUUGGAAACUGUGUGAUUUGAAUGUGAUGCACUCCUUUAUGUGUC